rnacentral:rRNA from 1 species
UACGUAGGUGGCAAGCGUUGUCCGGAUUUAUUGGGUUUAAAGGGUGCGUAGGCGGUCUAUUAAGUCAGUGCUGAAAUAUCCCGGCUUAACCGGGAGGGUGGCAUUGAUACUGAUGGACUUGAGUAAAGUUGAGGUUGGCGGAAUUGACGGUGUAGCGGUGAAAUGCUUAGAUAUCGUCAAGAACACCUAUUGCGAAGGCAGCUAACUAGCUAAACUGACGCUGAGGCACGAAAAGUGUGGGGGAUCAAAACAGG